UUAAUCUGNAAGUCGAGCGACAGACGAGGAGCUUGCUCCUCUGACGUUAGCGGCGGACGGGUGAGUAACACGUGGAUAACCUACCUAUAAGACUGGGAUAACUUCGGGAAACCGGAGCUAAUACCGGAUAAUAUAUUGAACCGCAUGGUUCAAUAGUGAAAGACGGUUUUGCUGUCACUUAUAGAUGGAUCCGCGCCGCAUUAGCUAGUUGGUAAGGUAACGGCUUACCAAGGCAACGAUGCGUAGCCGACCUGAGAGGGUGAUCGGCCACACUGGAACUGAGACACGGUCCAGACUCCUACGGGAGGCAGCAGUAGGGAAUCUUCCGCAAUGGGCGAAAGCCUGACGGAGCAACGCCGCGUGAGUGAUGAAGGUCUUCGGAUCGUAAAACUCUGUUAUUAGGGAAGAACAAAUGUGUAAGUAACUAUGCACGUCUUGACGGUACCUAAUCAGAAAGCCACGGCUAACUACGUGCCAGCAGCCGCGGUAAUACGUAGGUGGCAAGCGUUAUCCGGAAUUAUUGGGCGUAAAGCGCGCGUAGGCGGUUUUUUAAGUCUGAUGUGAAAGCCCACGGCUCAACCGUGGAGGGUCAUUGGAAACUGGAAAACUUGAGUGCAGAAGAGGAAAGUGGAAUUCCAUGUGUAGCGGUGAAAUGCGCAGAGAUAUGGAGGAACACCAGUGGCGAAGGCGACUUUCUGGUCUGUAACUGACGCUGAUGUGCGAAAGCGUGGGGAUCAAACAGGAUUAGAUACCCUGGUAGUCCACGCCGUAAACGAUGAGUGCUAAGUGUUAGGGGGUUUCNGCCCCUUAUUGCUGCAGCUAAUGCUCUCUUCAUUUCUCCUUG
rnacentral:rRNA from 1 species